rnacentral:misc_RNA from 1 species
GAUGAAGAACGUAGCGAAAUGCGAUAAGUAAUGCGAAUUGCAGAAUUUCCGUGAGUCAUCGAAUCUUUGAACGCACAUUGCGCCCACUGGUAUUCCGGUGGGCAUGCCUGUUCGAGCGUCAUUAUCCUCCCUCAAACCUCGGGUUUGGUGUUGGACCCAAGUUGUGUGAACAACUGGUCUUAAAGACAAUGACGGCGUCCGUGGGACCCUCGGUGCAACGAGCUUUUAGGAGCACGCGUCGAGUUUCAAGGACCUUCCGGGCCGGUCUCCUUUACCAUUUUACAAGGUUGACCUCGGAUCAGGUAGGGAUACCCGCUGAACUUAAGCAUAUCAAUAAGCGGAGGA